rnacentral:rRNA from 1 species
GACGAACGCUGGCGGCGUGCUUAACACAUGCAAGUCGAACGGAAAGGCCCUGCUUUUGUGGGGUGCUCGAGUGGCGAACGGGUGAGUAACACGUGAGUAGCCUGCCCUUGACUUCGGGAUAACUUCAGGAAACUGGGGCUAAUACCGGAUAGGAGCUCCUGCUGCAUGGUGGGGGUUGGAAAGUUUCGGCGGUUGGGGAUGGACUCGCGGCUUAUCAGCUUGUUGGUGGGGUAGUGGCUUACCAAGGCUUUGACGGGUAGCCGGCCUGAGAGGGUGACCGGCCACAUUGGGACUGAGAUACGGCCCAGACUCCUACGGGAGGCAGCAGUGGGGAAUAUUGCACAAUGGGCGGAAGCCUGAUGCAGCAACGCCGCGUGCGGGAUGACGGCCUUCGGGUCGUAAACCGCUUUCGCCUGUGACGAAGCGUGAGUGACGGUAAUGGGUAAAGAAGCACCGGCUAACUACGUG